rnacentral:rRNA from 1 species
CGAUCGCUAUAGGGGUAGGGCUAAGCCAUGGGAGUCGUACGCUCUCGGGAAGAGGGCGUGGCGGACGGCUGAGUAACACGUGGCUAACCUGCCCUUGGGAUCCGGAUAACCCCGGGAAACUGGGGCUAAUCCGGAAUAGGUAAGGGGCUCUGGAACGACUCCUUGCCUAAAGGCUCCUCGGCUGAUCCCGUCGGGGGGCGCCCAAGGAUGGGGCUGCGGCCCAUCAGGCUGUUGGCGGGGUAAAGGCCCGCCAAACCGAUAACGGUAGGGGCCGUGGGAGCGGGAGCCCCCAGUUGGGCACUGAGACAAGGGCCCAGGCCCUACGGGGCGCACCAGGCGCGGAAAGUCCCCAAUGCGGGAAACCGUGAGGGCGUUACCCCUAGUGCCCUCGCAAGAGGGCUUUUCCCCACUUUAGAACGGUGGGGGAAUAAGCGGGGGGCAAGACUGGUGUCAGCCGCUGCGGUAAUACCAGCCCCGCGAGUGAUCGAGACGUUUAUUGGGCUUAAAGCGUCCGUAGCCGGCCUUGUAAGUUCUCCCUUAAAUGGUAUGGCUCAACCAUACCGUUGGGGAGAAUACUGCAAGGCUAGGGGGCGGGAGAGGCGGGUGGUAGUUGAGGGGUAGUGGCAAAAUACGAUAAUCCCUCAAGGACCACCAGUGGCGGAGGCGACCCGCUAGAACGCGCCCGACGGUGAGGGACGAAAGCUGGGGGAGCAAAAGGGAUUAGAUACCCCUGUAGUCCCGGCUGUAAACGAUGCGGGCUAGGUGUCGCGUGGGCUUUGAGCCCACGCGGUGCCGCAGGAAAACUGGUAAGCCCGCCGCCUGGGGAGUACGGCCGCAAGGCUGAAACUUAAAGGAAUUGGCGGGGGAGCACCACAAGGGGUGGAACCUGCGGCUCAAUUGGAGUCAACGCCUGGAAUCUCACCGGGGGAGACCGCAGGAUGACGGCCAGGCUAACGACCUUGCCAGACUCGCGGAGAGGAGGUGCAUGGCCGUCGCCAGCUCGUGUUGUGAAAUGUCCGGUUAAGUCCGGCAACGAGCGAGACCCUCGUCUCCAGUUGCGACCAGGACCCAUUGGGUCCUGGGCACACUGGAGAGACUGCCAGCGCUAAGCUGGAGGAAGGAGGGGGCUACGGCAGGUCAGUAUGCCCCGAAACCCCUGGGCUACACGCGGCCUGCAAUGGUGGGGACAAUGGGUUCCGAACCCGAAAGGGGGAGGUAAUCCCAUAAAACCCCACCUCAGUUGGGAUCGAGGGCUGCAACUCGCCCUCGUGAACGUGGAAUCCCUAGUAACCGCGUGUCAUCAUCGCGCGGUGAAUACGUCCCUGCUCCUU